rnacentral:rRNA from 1 species
UACGGGGGGGGCAAGCGUUGUUCGGAAUUACUGGGCGUAAAGGGCUUGUAGGUGGCCAACUAAGUCAGACGUGAAAUCCCUCGGCUUAACCGGGGAACUGCGUCUGAUACUGGAUGGCUUGAGUGUGGGAGAGGGAUGCGGAAUUCCAGGUGUAGCGGUGAAAUGCGUAGAUAUCGUAAGGAAGACCAGUGGCGAAGGCGGGUCUCUGGACAGUUCCUGACGCUGAGGCACGAAGGCCAGGGGAGCAAACGGG